rnacentral:rRNA from 1 species
AGUGAACGCUGGCGGUGGGCCUAACACAUGCAAGUCGAACGGCAACACAGUGAGAGCUUGCUCUUACGGGUAGCGAGUGACGGGCGAGUAAGGAAUACAUCAGCAUCUACUUUUUCGUGGAGGAUAACGUGGGACAACUUACGCUAAUACCGCAUACGACCUACGGGUGGAAGCAAUAGAUCUUCGGGGCUUUCGCGAUUGUAUGAGCCGAUGUCGGAUUAGCUAGUUGGCGGGGUAAAGGCCCACCAAGGCGACGAUACGUAGCUGGCCUGAGAGGAUGAUCAGCCACACUGGAACUGAGACACGGUCCAGACUCCUACGGGAGGCAGCAGUGGGGAAUCUUCGGCAAUGGGCGAAAGCCUGACGCAGCAACACCGCGUGAGUGAAGAAGGUCUUCGGGUCGUAAAGCUCUGUUGUUGGGAAAGAACAGCUGUAUGUUAAUAUACCGACGUCUUGACGGUACCUAAAGAAAAAGCACCGGCUAACUUCGUG